rnacentral:tRNA from 1 species
CUCUCCUUAGCUCAGCUGGAAGAGCAACUGACUGUAGAUCAAAAGCGAUCUGAAUAGCACACGAGUCACAUCGUGGAACACACACGGAGGUAUCAGUGGGUCACCCGUUCGAUUCGGGUAGGGGAGA